rnacentral:rRNA from 1 species
UACGAAGGGUGCAAGCGUUACUCGGAAUUACUGGGCGUAAAGCGUUCGUAGGUGGUUCGUUAAGUCUGUCGUGAAAUCCCCGGGCUCAACCUGGGAAUGGCGAUGGAUACUGGCGAGCUAGAGUGAGGUAGAGGAGAGUGGAAUUCCCGGUGUAGCAGUGAAAUGCGUAGAGAUCGGGAGGAACAUCAGUUGCGAAGGCGGCUCUCUGGACCAUCACUGACACUGAGGCACGAAAGCGUGGGGAGCAAACAGG